AUCCAGCUGACGAGUCUCAAAUAGCACAAAUGCGCAUCCUGGAU
rfam:Schistosoma haematobium scaffold467_5, whole genome shotgun sequence.